UACGUAGGGUGCGAGCGUUGUCCGGAAUUAUUGGGCGUAAAGGGCUCGUAGGCGGUCUGUCGCGUCGGGAGUGAAAACUCAGGGCUUAACCCUGAGCCUGCUUCCGAUACGGGCAGACUAGAGGUAUGCAGGGGAGACGGAAUUCCUGGUGUAGCGGUGGAAUGCGCAGAUAUCAGGAGGAACACCGGUGGCGAAGGCGGUUCUCUGGGCAUUACCUGACGCUGAGGAGCGAAAGUGUGGGGAGCGAACAGG
rnacentral:rRNA from 1 species